UUAUGGCUCAGGAUGAACGCUGGCGGCGCGCCUAACACAUGCAAGUCGAACGGUUAAAGCCCCUUCGGGGGUGCAUAAAGUGGCGAACGGCUGAGUAACACGUGGGCAACCUGCCCCCCGCUUCGGGAUAGCCUCGGGAAACCGUGGGUAAUACCGGAUACUCCGCCCACCCCGCAUGGGGAGGGCGGGAAAGCGCAUACGGCGGGGGAUGGGCCCGCGGCCUGUUAGCUCGUUGGCGGGGUAACGGCCCACCAAGGCUAUUAUGGGUAGCCGGGUUGAGAGACCGACCGGCCAGAUUGGGACUGAGACACGGCCCAGACUCCUACGGGAGGCAGCAGUGGGGAAUCUUGCACAAUGGGCGAAAGCCUGAUGCCAGCGACGCCGCGUGCGGGAUGAAGGCCCUCGGGUUGUAAACCGCUUUCAGCAGGGACGAGGCGCAAGUGACGGUACCUGCAGAAGAAGCCCCGGCUAACUACGUGCCAGCCGCGGC
rnacentral:rRNA from 1 species